CUCCAACUGUACAGCUCAGUUGGGAUUUCCUGCAAGUGCAAGAUUUUAAGCAUGAAAAAGAACUCUGUAAAUAAAUCUGCAAUUGGUGUCUUGAACAAUCUGGGCAUGCUAUUUAUUCCAGUCUUCCUGAUGACUGUGCUUUUCAGGAUUUAAUGGACCUCUACAAGAUGGAAGACACGGAUAAACAAUGGAUAACUUCAAACAGAGCAAGACCUCAAACAGAGUCUCAUGACUCUCUUUCAAAGGCGACUGAAAGAAGUUUACAUAACAAGGCAAGGGUAAGGAUGGCACAUUUGAUCACAUUCCUCAGCAAGAAUGCCUGAAGGAUUCCCUGGAGGGAGCACUCAAUUAGGAGAGUUCAAGUUUAGAACUUAUUUAUUUAUUACUUCAGCUAUGAAUUGUGUUCUUCUUAAGAUGCAGUAAUUCUGAGCAACUGGCUUAAAUAUUCCUUUUUUGAGAAGUAAGAGAAAUCUUGAAUUUAAC
rnacentral:lncRNA from 1 species